GUUCUUAACUGAGCCGAAUCAUGACACCCACCCUAUUGUUGAACUCCACCCAUAUCUUGCUUCCACUGGCCAGUGCUGAGCUGCCUUCUUUCUUUUUUCGUCUGGCGUUAGUCUGACGUUGAAAGGGAAGGGGGGGGCGAGGCCCUUCAAAGAAUCUGUGGGUGACUUCAAAGGUCUCCAUGGCUGAAGCGUGCCGGUGGUGGCCCAAUUUGAAAAAAAAAAAAUACUUGAAAUCAUUUAAGAAAUACUGUCUGAUACAUGAAAACAAAGAUUUUAUAUAAUCAUUAUAAAACUUUCAACAACGGAUCUCUAGGCUCUUGCAUCGAUGAAGAACGCAGUGAAAUGCGAUACGUAAUGUGAAUUGCAGAAUCUCGUGAAUCAUUGAAUCUUUGAACGCACAUUGCGCCCUGUGGUAUUCCAUAGGGCAUGCCUGUCUGAGCGUCAGCUCCCCCCCACUCAAGCUCUUUUGCUUGGAUUAUUUCGGACAAGCAGUCCCAUUUGUGGAUUGCCGCCCGCAAAUUCAUAGGCAGUAUGGUCUUCGUUCCCCCCUUCGUUUCCAAUGCUGAGCGUAAUAACUUUAAAAACGAUCACGCCCAUACCAAGUUUGGAAAAGUGAAGAGAAUGAUCAUCGUACUCGCCCCAACAACCCACCCCACUUCAA
rnacentral:rRNA from 1 species